AUGCACAAUAAGAAAAAAGAGUUUCAAGUUUUAAACUCUACUGGUAAAUGCAGCAAAAGAGUUCUUGCAAAGAUUGCUAAGCUGAGGGCAGAAAUAGCUAAUGAUACAAAGGAGGUGAAUGCUCUUAUUGGAACGGAACAUCCUGACGUAUCUUCCUGGCCAAUAAGGGAGUACGAUAUGCCAUCACAAACAGACGGAGUCUCUUGUGGUCUUUUCGUAGUGAAAUGCAUUCAAAACUGGAACGGAGAUGAUUGGACAUUUGAGUUUGAUCAAGAUGAGGUCAAUGCUUCAAGGGAACGCAUUCUAGCUGAAAUACUUUUUCAGAGUGCAACACGAAGUAGUGAAAGAGAAGAUCCUCAAGAUCAUGGAGAAGAAAUGAGUCGGAGGAUGGGGUGUUGGCUAUUAUCUCCACUAAAUAAACGUGCCAUUGUCGGUACUUGA
rnacentral:rRNA from 1 species